GACGAACGCUGGCGGCGUGCUUAACACAUGCAAGUCGAACGGAAAGGCCCCUUUGGGGGUACUCGAGUGGCGAACGGGUGAGUAACACGUGAGUAACCUGCCCUUGACUUCGGGAUAACUUCAGGAAACUGGGGCUAAUACCGGAUAGGAAUCCUUGCUGCAUGGUGGGGGUUGGAAAGCUUCGGCGGUUUUAGAUGGACUCGCGGCUUAUCAGCUUGUUGGUGGGGUAGUGGCUUACCAAGGCUUUGACGGGUAGCCGGCCUGAGAGGGCGACCGGCCACAUUGGGACUGAGAUACGGCCCAGACUCCUACGGGUGGCAGCAGUGGGGAAUAUUGCACAAUGGGCGGAAGCCUGAUGCAGCAACGCCGCGUGCGGGAUGACGGCCUUCGGGUUGUAAACCGCGUUCAGCAGGGGCGAAGCUUGUGGUGACGGUACCUGCAGAAGAAGCACCGGCUAACUACGUG
rnacentral:rRNA from 1 species